rnacentral:tRNA from 1 species
GGCCGUUUCGUCUAGUUUGGUUAGGACGUUAGCUUUUCAUGUUAAAGACGUGGGUUCAAAUCCCACAAUGGUCA